ACAGACAGUUCUAGUGGAGACAACACCAUGAAAUGCAAGGCUAGUUUUCUGUUGGUGGUGCUUUUCACCUUACAGCUUGUACAUAUAAAUGCAGCUGGGACAAAUUUCAGAACAAGACGUCGAAUCGGCUGGGGAUGGUUUCCAUUACCUGAAAUAAAACACGUACGGGUCCAUUUGUCUCAUGCUAACUAUCCUUUAACGAACGUGACUUCAACGAACGGGACCUUUACAAACGGCACUUUAACAAAUGCAACUAUUACUGACGGAACCUUUGCAAAUAUCGAAUUCGAACAGUUAGAUGCCCAGAGAAGAGUACUGCAAUAAUUUGCCACGAACGUGUCAUGCUUCGCACUGAUGAUGCCAUGAAUUAAAAGGAAAACAAGACAAUAUCGUUGCUUUAUUGUAUUUAUUCAAUAGUGAUGAGCUUGAGAAUACCAUGUGUAGCCUAUAAUCUUGGCCAGCUACAAUUAAAAAAUAAAUAUAAAAAGCAUUUUUUCGACACUGAUAACCCGACCGUUAACCGUCAUUUAUAAGUUGUAGGUCUCACAGCAUAAUUUCUCUUUAAGAUAUAAUAACAGUUACAAGUUAAUCAUUUAUCAAGCACUGGAUGAACAGUGCAUAGAUUAGAAAAGUGUAUUUUUUCAUCAACAAAUUCAUUGGUAUUUUUCCACAAUAAGGCCCUCAUGCGUCUAAUUAAAAUUCUUUACAUUUUAUCAUCUUACUCGGACUCGAAAAUUUAUAAAAUCGAAAAUCUAUACAUAAGUGUCAUCAGGAUGUCUAGGAAACGGUAUGUCGGGUUAGUUACGCAGAAAUGUAAGCGUGACUGAAGAAUGUUCACACAGUGAUGUCCAAAAACUUUGAUCUUGAAAUGUUUUUGGGUCUUUC